UCUCACCUGCCUCUGCGCUAAGCAGACAAGCUGCUGUGAGCUGCUCCGGCUGAGAGGUGUGUGUGUGAAUUACAGCCUCCAGCAGGGAGGCACGGGUCCCACCAGCUAAGCCUACAGCCGAGCAAAAAGGCUGCGACCACCUGGCUGGCCCGGAGCAGGGCAGAGAUGCUCACAGCCCCUUCUGGUGCCUAUCAGCAGCAGCAGCGGUGUGUGCAGAAGGAAAGAAGGGCUAUUCAUCUCCCAAAAGAAGGGCUGUUCCCCUCCCAGAUAGAUAAGGCACUUCAGCAGAAGCUGGGGUUGAAUUUUCUGGCAGACCCUUGCACUGCACCUCUGUGAUGUCCCGGCUGAGCUGGAGCCAGCUGUUUUCCAUCCAAGCCCUUAUUUACUCCGGCUCUCAGCUGUUUGAGUGAUGGCCGAGCUCAUCUUUAACGUAGAUGUAGGGCUGGGUGGCAACGUGCUAUUGAGAAUGAGUUGUGGGCAUCUCACAGACUCUCUCAAUCUGACAUUAUUGCUGCAUGAGAAGGGAAAAAAGAGGAUAAAAAUCUGUGGCAGGCCUGGCAGGUAAAUCCUUGUGAGAAAGAACAGUUGUCCAUCACACCCUGGUUGUUAUCAGUGUGAACUGAAUGUUUUUGGGGCUGUGCUGCCAGCACUUCAGGCCAGCCAGGGCUGGGGGCCACAGCUGGAGGCAGGCUGGGCUAGGUGAUGUCCUGGUGGCGGUGGCCGUGCAAUCCCAGCGUUAUCUCUGCAUGGUGCCCAGCUGAAACAGGAGGUGGAGGGUGACAGCAGAGGGGAAGCGGUGCUGCAGUGCUUUGGAGGACAGUCCUCUGCCAAGAGAGGCCAGAAGCAGGCUGGUGGGCAGAAAACAUGAUAACGUGACUGCUUCUGCACCAGCAGGUCCGUGUUAUGGUCAUCGUUUGGCACUAGGGACAUACUGAGAAGGUUCAUGCAUCUGAGCUUCAGGUGCAACUGAUGCUUUCAGGACAUCUGUUUGCUCAGCUGAACCAAAUUUUGGGAAGGUGAUCGUCAUAUUUACCACCAACGUGGGCAGCUCUUUCUUUGGACCUUGAAAAAUUGUCCAGGGUUUGGGUUUUCACUUCUGUAAUGCAGGCCGGGAAGCUGGGACAUGAAAAGGUGCUUGAGUCCAGGCUGCAGUAAAUUCUGCAAGAAUUGACGAGUUGAUUUGCUCUCCUGUCUUGUUCCAGCCAUUGAGAUUUCGCAGAUCCCACAGCCAAAUGAAGGGGUAUCAGCAAAUCAAGGUGACCUCUAAAGCAGAGAGGCCCCUUGGAACCAGCAGCUCCAAAGACAGAGAGCGGUGGUGGUGCACAGCAGAGCCGCGUGUCAGCGUGCCCGUCCUGUGACGGGGCAUCAGCACAGGGAGGUCCCGUAAGGCCAUGAGGCUUUAGGAAGCAGGGAGAGAGGAAACUCUGACUUAUUUGUACUGUAAGUAAAAAUCUGCUGCUGUUUGUGCUCUGCUGGUUGUCCGCCUGGACCCUCUGACGGAGCAGGAGCAACUCUUUCCUUACAACUAAGAGCUACUUCUUGGCAGCUCCCCUUGCAGCACGGCUGUCACUGCUCCUGGUCUUCUCACUCUGAAAUGCCCUCACCGUUGUCCUGGAUUUCCCUGGGAGAAAUUCCCCCUGUUUCUCCCCACACUUAACAGGAGUGUCAGCAUCCACAUGAUUCCUCACGACUCCGAGACUGCCUUCCGCCGGGAACCUGCCUGCACCAAAGUCCCUGGCACAGUUUGAGCUGCAGUUUUGUCUGAUCCUUUUAAGAGUUGGGAAUGGCUGUUUUGAUGUCUCAUAUCUGUGAACAUGAAAGGCUCCUUUCCCUCUAACUGUGCAUUGGGCAGGGCAAUGCCUGUCUCUCCUAAUCAAAAAUGUAAUCAAAGAUCUCACUUCUCGUAAAAAAUGUAUUAAAAAGAAGAAACGAUGCGGCGUCUUUCUAUUGGCUUCGCUGCUGGUUUGCUCUGGUUUCUACUUCUAUGCUGCUCCCUCCUGCCUUCCACAAAAGAACCCCUACCUUCACUUUCCCCAUGUCUUGAGAGGUUUAAUUGCAAAAUGUUGAGCUUUGAAAACAACAAAAAAAAAUCAUUGUAUUUGAUUCAAGCGAAAUAUCGAUUGUCCUUGAGUUCCCGCACCGCAGAUAUCGGCGGCGUUUUGUCAGCGCAAGGAGCGAGUAAAAAGAUCACAGCAAGGAAUAAAUAUUCCAAGUGGAAGGAGAAGAAGCUGAGCCAGGAAAAUAGCGGUGCCCCAUCCCUUCCUCUCCCACAGCUGCUUCUUAAUAAAUGGUCUGUUGACCUGAUGUUAACGUUUCCAGUUUACAGUAAGCAGCAUUUCCCUUAAACAAGAUCCUGAUAAAGCGAAGCGAGGGAAUAGAGGGGGUGGAGAGCAGAUUUGCAAAACAUGCUGGAGUGAGAAAGUCAGAACAUACCGUGUGUGUCUCGGGAGUGGGAACAUGCCUCAGUGUGUGAAUAAAUAUAUAAUGUAUAGACAUA